GCAGAUUUGAAAUAAAUGUAGCCAAUCGGAAAGCAGUUAAGGUCUAACCGCGAAACGAAUCAUUGCGCAUUGUAAUGCGCAUGGCGUAUUAGUCUACAGUCGAAAUUCAUAGCGACGAGUUGCGUUUUACCUGUGAAGUGUAUAAUUACAUAAAAUUUUCGUUAAUAAGGUAUUGUGUUGGCCUUAAUUGUAGAUUAUUAAGUUUUAUUUAAUCAAUACGUGUUUGUUUAACCAUUAUUAUAUCAAAAUUGAAUAGUAUUUAGACUUUUAUCGUCUUUCUAAACUUUAUCGUUCGAUCGAAGUUUCGAUGAUUUCGAAAGCAUAAUAAUUUUCGCAGAUGCCAUGAUAAUUAAGAAAUAAUCCGAAGAAUUCAUUCGAACGAGAAUCAGUGCAUUAAGAGAAUAAGGCUAUCACGCAAAGAGAUUUUUCUAUCUGAUGAUAUUCUUCUGGACUUCAGCAGCAGUUCUUCGCUUCGAAUGAUUUCUAUUAUAAUAAUAUUGAUAUCGAGAUGGUGGAAAAUGGAACUCUAAUGAAUAUUCCAAAAAUUAUAAAAUAUAUCGAUACAAAUUUUCAUGUAUUGUUGGUUUAAUAUCUUGUAGCCACGAUCAAUGACUGGAAUAUUAUUCGUGACUAUGCAUUCUCCGAAGGCUGUCUAUCCGAAUACAAACGACCAAGGUCAUGAAUCUACGAGAACGAUAUUUCUUCCAACAAAUCUAGAGCCUCGUAAAAAGUAUCGCAACACGCGCGUAUCUAUUACCAAUCGCCCUACUCUCCGACCAAAAUAAUCGAUAAGAGGUUCUCGAAACUGGUUGAUGCAUCGACCUUUUUUGCCGAAAGAGAAGGAAAAGAACCUUAUCGUUGGGGAAUAUCUCUUACGCUAUAUAUAAACUAUAUAUAUAAUACUCACCGUAAUAACGAAGAAAACAUUGGAAAAUCAAAAUUUCCAGUAAUACG
rnacentral:lncRNA from 1 species